rnacentral:rRNA from 1 species
AGGAUCAUUAAUGAAACUUCAAAGUCGGCUCGUCUGUCUGUGCUGGUGGAGACACAUGUGCACGUCGGCGAGUCGCAAAUCCACACACACCUGUGCAUCUAUGACUCUGAGUACCGCUUUGCAUGGCCCUCAGGGGCCUGGUACUCGAGUACUUUACACACUCUGAAUGUAAUGGAAUGUCUUUUUGUACAAUGUACAACUAAAAACAACUUUCAACAACGGAUCUCUUGGCUCUCGCAUCGAUGAAGAACGCAGCGAAAUGCGAUAAGUAAUGUGAAUUGCAGAAUUCAGUGAAUCAUCGAAUCUUUGAACGCACCUUGCACCCUUUGGUAUUCCGAAGGGUACACCCGUUUGAGUGUCAUUGUAAUCUCACUACAACCACUUUAUUGUUGUUUGUAUGUGGACUUGGAUGUUGCCGUGUAACAAACGGCUCGUCUGAAAUGCCUGAGUGUACCCUGCUUUUGCGGCGUAUUCGGUGUGAUAAAUCUUCACCGGAGUUGACUUUCGGGUCGCGCUUGUAUCGUCGGGCUCUAUGCUUCCAACCGUCCUCACAAGACAAUCUCUGACAAUUUGACCUCAAAUCGGGUGGGACUACCCGCUGAACUUAAGCAUAUCAAUAAGCGGAGGAAAAGAAACUAACAAGGAUUCCCCUAGUAACGGCGAGUGAAGAGGGAAAAGCUCAAAUUUUGAAUCUGGUGUCUUUGACUCCCGAGUUGUAAUCUAGAGAAGUGUUUUCCGCGUUGGACCGUGUACAAGUUCCCUGGAACGGGGCGUCAUAGAGGGUGAGAAUCCCGUAUAUGCCACGGACUACCAAUGCUCUGUGAUACACUCUCAACGAGUCGAGUUGUUUGGGAAUGCAGCUCAAAAUGGGUGGUAAAUUCCAUCUAAAGCUAAAUAUUGGCGAGAGACCGAUAGCGAACAAGUACCGUGAGGGAAAGAUGAAAAGCACUUUGGAAAGAGAGUGAAACAGUACGUGAAAUUGUUGAAAGGGAAGCGUUUGAAGUCAGUCACGUCUGUCGGAAUUCAGCCUGGCUUCUGCCUGGUGUACUUUCCGUCCGACGGGUCAGCAUCAAUUUCGACCGAGGGAAAAAGACGUGAGGAAUGUGGCUGUCUUCGGGCAGUGUUAUAGCCUCGGGUUGUAUGUCUCGGUUGGGAUUGAGGAACGCAGCGCGCC